AGAAGAUGGUAAGGGCAAACGGUGGAUGCCUUGGCACAAGAAGCCGAUGAAGGACGUGAUAAGCUGCGAUAAGCCACGGUAAGGAGCACAUAUCCUGUGACCCGUGGAUUUCCGAAUGGGUAAACCCACCAAGAGUCAUUUCUUGGUACUUCCUGCUGAAUAUAUAGGCAGGAUAGAGGUAACCGGGGGAACUGAAACAUCUAAGUACCCCGAGGAAGAGAAAUCAAACGAGAUUCCCCUAGUAGUGGCGAGCGAACGGGGAUAUAGGACAAACCGUCAGUUGCGCAAGCGCUGGCGGGGUUGUAGGACCAUUCAUUGUGGAGUUACAAAACUUCGUGGAAGCAGAAUAGCUUGGAAAAGCUGGCGAGACAGGGUAAAAGCCCCGUACGCGAAUCUGCGAAGACUCUCGAGUGGCACCUGAGUACUGCCGGACACGUGAAACCCGGUGGGAACCUGGGGGGUCCACCCUCCAAUCCUAAAUACUCUCUUGUGACCGAUAGUGAACCAGUACCGUGAGGGAAAGGUGAAAAGCACCCCUAGCGGGGAGUGAAAUAGUACCUGAAACCGUUUGCCUACAAGCAGUCGGAGCAGACUUUUGUCUGUGACGGCGUGCCUUUUGUAGAAUGAGCCAGCGAGUUACGGCAUGUGGCAAGGUUAAGCUAAAAAGCGAGCCGCAGCGAAAGCGAGUCUGAAUAGGGCGAGUGAGUCGCAUACCGUAGACGCGAAGCCAGGUGAGCUAUCCAUGAGCAGGCUGAAGCGGGGGUAAGACCCCGUGGAGGGCCGAACCCACUUAGGUUGAAAACUGAGGGGAUGACUUGUGGAUAGGAGUGAAAGGCCUAUCAAACCUGGAGAUAUCUCGUUCUCUCCGAAAUAGCUUUAGGGCUAGCCUCGGAUGUUUACCAAUGGGGGUAGAGCACUGAAUAGUUGCGGGGGCUUCACCGCCUACCAAGAUUAAUCAAACUCCGAAUACCAUUGGUCUAGAAUCCGGGAGUCAGAAUAUGUGGGCUAAGCUGUGUAUUCGAAAGGGAAACAGCCCAGACCGCCCGCUAAGGUCCCAAAAUCAAUGCUAAGUGGCAAAGGAUGUGCGUUUGCUCAGACAACCAGGAUGUUGGCUUAGAAGCAGCCAUUCAUUUAAAGAGUGCGUAAUAGCUCACUGGUCGAGUGGACAUGCGCCGACAAUAUACGGGGCUAAGCAUUGUACCGAAGCGGCGGAUCAGUACUUUGUACUGGUGGUAGGAGAGCUUUCUGUACGGGUUGAAGCAGUUGGAUAACCAACUGUGGACUGUCCAGAAGUGAGAAUGCUGGCAUGAGUAACGAGAGACAUGUAAAAAACAUGUCCGCCGUAAACCCAAGGUUUCCUGGGCAAGGCUAAUCCUCCCAGGGUUAGGCGGGAGCUAAGGCAAGGCCGGAAGGCGUAGUCGAUGCACAACAGGUAGAAAUUCCUGUCCCUCCAAAAGAGCGUUAUCACCAAUGGGGUGACGGAGCAGGGUAGCUAGGCGGGGUUCUGGACGUCCCCGUGAUGGCACGUAGGCUGAGAAGUAGUGAAAUGCGCUUCUCGUGAUGGCUGAGGUGUCGGACGAAGCAAUUGAGUGAAGCUAGUAAGCCCAUACUUCCAAGAAAAACCUCUAGGGAGCUCUGAGGAGCCCGUACCGCAAACCGACACAGGUGGGUGGGUAGAGCAUACCAAGGCGAUCGGGAGAACUAUGGUUAAGGAACUCGGCAAAAUUGCCCCGUAACUUCGGGAGAAGGGGUGCCGGUUUCGGUGAAGGGAUUUACUCCCCGAGCUAAGAUCGGUCACAGUAAAUAGGUCCAAGCGACUGUUUAUCAAAAACACAGGACUCUGCUGAAGUCGUAAGACGACGUAUAGGGUCUGACGCCUGCCCGGUGCCGGAAGGUCACGAGGAGUUGUUAGCAUUAGCGAAGCAGCGAAUCUAAGCCCCGGUAAACGGCGGCCGUAACUAUAACGGUCCUAAGGUAGCGAAAUUCCUUGUCGGGUAAGUUCCGACCUGCACGAAUGGUG
rnacentral:rRNA from 1 species